rnacentral:rRNA from 1 species
UGGGGAAUAUUGGACAAUGGGCGAAAGCCUGAUCCAGCCAUGCCGCGUGAACGAUGAAGGCCUUAGGGUUGUAAAGUUCUUUUGUCAGGGAAGAUAAUGACGGUACCUGAAGAAUAAGCACCGGCUAACUUCGUGCCAGCAGCCGCGGUAAUACGAAGGGUGCUAGCGUUGUUCGGAAUCACUGGGCGUAAAGCGCGCGUAGGCGGCUUAACAAGUCAGAGGUGAAAGCCUGGAGCUCAACUCCAGAACUGCCUUUGAAACUGUUAAGCUUGAGUGUCGGAGGGGAUAGCGGAAUUUCUAAUGUAGAGGUGAAAUUCGUAGAUAUUAGAAGGAACACCGGUGGCGAAGGCGGCUAUCUGGACGACAACUGACGCUGAGGCGCGAAAGCGUGGGGAUCAAACAGGAUUAGAUACCCCCGUAGUCCCUGAGCGGGCUGGCAAGGCGCAU